rnacentral:rRNA from 1 species
GUUGUUCGGAAUCACUGGGCUUAAAGGGCGCGUAGGCGGGCUCGCCAGUCAGGGGUGAAAUCCCACGGCCCAACCGUGGAAGUGCCUCUGAUACUGCGGGCCUCGAGGGAGGUAGGGGCGUGCGGAACUUCCGGUGGAGCGGUGAAAUGCGUAGAUAUCCGGAGGAACACCGAAGGCGAAGGCAGUGUCCUGGCGAGUGACUGACGCUGAGGUGCGAAAGCCAGGGGAGCGAACGGG